rnacentral:tRNA from 1 species
CUUGAAGUAGCUCAGCUUGGUAGAGCACUUGGUUUGGGACCAAGGGGUCGCAGGUUCGAAUCCUGUCUUCCCGA